ACGCUCGACACCUACGGGAGGCAGCAGUGGGGAAUAUUGCACAAUGGGGAAACCCUGAUGCAGCGACGCCGCGUGGAGGAAGAAGGUCUUCGGAUUGUAAACUCCUGUUGUUGGGGAAAAAGAGGAUGGUACCCAACAAGGAAGUGACGGCUAACUACGUGACAGCAGCCGCGGUAAUCUGAGCGGGCUGGCAAGGC
rnacentral:rRNA from 1 species